rnacentral:rRNA from 1 species
GGCCCAGAUCGUUUACCGUGAAAAAAUUAGAGUGUUCAAAGCAGGCAGAUCCAAUUUUCUGCCACCGAAUACAUUAGCAUGGGAUAAUGGAAUAGGACCCUGUCCUCCUAUUUUCAGUUGGUUUUGGCAGCGCGGAGGACUAGGGUAAUGAUUAAUAGGGAUAGUUGGGGGCAUUAAUAUUUAAUUGUCAGAGGUGAAAUUCUUGGAUUUAUGAAAGAUUAACUUCUGCGAAAGCAUCUGCCAAGGAUGUUUUCAUUAAUCAAGAACGAAAGUUAGGGGAUCGAAGACGAUCAGAUACCGUCGUAGUCUUAACCAUAAACGAUGCCGACCAGCGAUUAGGAGACGUUGAAUACAAAACACCACCAUCGGUGCGGUCGUCCUUGGCGUCGGUUUCGGCGGCGCGGGGGCUGC